AGUCGAGGGGUACAUUGGUGCUUGCACCAGAUGACGACCGGCGCACGGGUGCGUAACGCGUAUAGAACCUACCUUUUACAGGGGAAUAGCCUUUAGAAAUGAAGAUUAAUGCCCCAUAGUAUUACGACUUGGCAUCAAGUUGUAUUUAAAGAUUUAUCGGUAAAAGAUGGCUAUGCGUCCUAUUAGUUAGUUGGUAAGGUAACGGCUUACCAAGACAUCGAUAGGUAGGGGUCCUGAGAGGGAGAUCCCCCACACUGGUACUGAGACACGGACCAGACUCCUACGGGAGGCAGCAGUGAGGAAUAUUGGACAAUGGAGGCAACUCUGAUCCAGCCAUGCCGCGUGCAGGAAGACGGCCCUAUGGGUUGUAAACUGCUUUUAUACAGGAAGAAACAUCCCGACGUGUCGGGACUUGACGGUACUGUAAGAAUAAGGACCGGCUAACUCCGUGCCAGCAGCCGCGGUAAUACGGAGGGUCCGAGCGUUAUCCGGAAUCAUUGGGUUUAAAGGGUCCGCAGGCGGUCAAUUAAGUCAGAGGUGAAAUCCCAUAGCUUAACUAUGGAACUGCCUUUGAUACUGGUUGACUUGAGUCAUAUGGAAGUAGAUAGAAUGUGUAGUGUAGCGGUGAAAUGCAUAGAUAUUACACAGAAUACCGAUUGCGAAGGCAGUCUACUACGUAUGUACUGACGCUCAUGGACGAAAGCGUGGGGAGCGAACAGGAUUAGAUACCCUGGUAGUCCACGCCGUANACGAUGGAUACUAGUUGUUGGGAUUUAUCUCAGUGACUAAGCGAAAGUGAUAAGUAUCCCACCUGGGGAGUACGGUCGCAAGA
rnacentral:rRNA from 1 species